rnacentral:rRNA from 1 species
UACGAAGGGGGCUAGCGUUGCUCGGAAUUACUGGGCGUAAAGCGCACGUAGGCGGCUCUUUAAGUCGGGGGUGAAAUCCUGGAGCUCAACUCCAGAACUGCCUUCGAUACUGGAGAGCUCGAGUCCGGGAGAGGUGAGUGGAACUGCGAGUGUAGAGGUGAAAUUCGUAGAUAUUCGCAAGAACACCAGUGGCGAAGGCGGCUUACUGGUCCGGUUCUGACGCUGAGGCGCGAAAGCGUGGGGAGCAAACAGGG